UUUCAACAAUGGAUCUCUUGGUUCCGGCAUCGAUGAAGAACGCAGCGAAAUGCGAUAAGUAAUGUGAAUUGCAGAAUUCCGUGAAUCAUCGAAUCUUUGAACGCACAUUGCGCCCUCCGGUAUUCCGGAGGGCAUGCCUGUCCGAGCGUCAUCAACCCACCUCAAGCCUCGCUUGGUGUUGGGCGU
rnacentral:rRNA from 2 species